GGAAGAAAGAAAGAAAGAAAGAAAGGAAGGAGGAGGGAGGAAGGAAGGAAAUAAAGAAAAACGGCGCACAUGAACAAAGAAAAUUGGACGAGGGCCAAAAAGGCGGCAUUCCUUGCUUUAUAUGCUUGCCUACUCAAAUGCAGCCAUUGCAGAAAGGUCUCUCUCCCCUCUCAGUGACCGCCGACGGUGAGGUCUGGGCGUGGGGCCGGAACGAGGAGAGUCACCUCGGAAGGGGCGACUGCCGGUCCAAGGUCCCUCCUUUGACCCAUUUUCAGCUUGAUUUCGCCCCUUUUAGGGAAUGCCAAAUUCUUAAACUAUGUUGCGAUGAUUUUUGGGCGCUGCCUUUCUGCUUCUUGGUCGAGAUUUGGUUUCCCUCUCUCAUUGCAGUUUGAUGACGCUGGUUUGGAAUCACUCCAUCUAUUGUGCGAGGUUUUGAAGUUCCAAUUAGUGAUCACGGCACAAAUUUGGGUGGCUUGCUUGGAAGGUGGUCUUGAUUCUAUGGCCCGUCAUGUGGUUGUGGAUUCUUGUACCUGUUCAAGUUGUUGACAAUUUGGUGCCUUUGGAAUUUCUGGUAAUACCCUUCGUUGCUACCUUUUCUAUGAGUCAUGAUUCUUGCAAGGUGGGUUUUGGGGUACCUAUUGAAGUUUGCAGGGUUUUUCUUGGGCUCUAUGUAUUAUGUGUUGAACAUCCAGCCUUUCGAUGUACCUUUAUUAUUGAGCUGAUUGAUGCCUUGGUUUAUUCCAGAAAAUCUAUAUUAGGAUAUUUGUCUCUUGAAGUAUAGGACAUUUUCUUUGUUUUGCAAAAUUAACAGUUACUGUUGAAAAUAAGUUUCUCAGUUCUUCAAGUAUUGCCCUAGAGUUUUAGGGUCUAAGAGUGUUGAAUGAGUUUUUGCAGAAAACUAGUUUGUGUUCCUGAUAAAAAUUCACAUUGAGUUGUUGACAAGUAUUUCAUUGAUUUGUUA